rnacentral:rRNA from 1 species
CCUACGGGUGGCAGCAGUGGGGAAUAUUGGACAAUGGGCGAAAGCCUGAUCCAGCCAUGCCGCGUGUGUGAAGAAGGCCUUCGGGUUGUAAAGCACUUUCAGUGGGGAAGAAAGCCUUGGGGCGAAUACCCUCGAGGAAGGACAUCACCCACAGAAGAAGCACCGGCUAACUCCGUGCCAGCAGCCGCGGUAAUACGGAGGGUGCGAGCGUUAAUCGGAAUUACUGGGCGUAAAGCGCGCGUAGGCGGUCUGAUAAGCCGGUUGUGAAAGCCCCGGGCUCAACCUGGGAACGGCAUCCGGAACUGUCAGUCUAGAGUGCAGGAGAGGAAGGUAGAAUUCCCGGUGUAGCGGUGAAAUGCGUAGAGAUCGGGAGGAAUACCAGUGGCGAAGGCGGCCUUCUGGACUGACACUGACGCUGAGGUGCGAAAGCGUGGGUAGCAAACAGGAUUAGAUACCCGAGUAGUC